rnacentral:rRNA from 1 species
AUUGAACGCUGGCGGCAGGCUUAACACAUGCAAGUCGAGCGGGGUGAUGGUGCUUGCGCUAUCACUUAGCGGCGGACGGGUGAGUAAUGCUUAGGAAUCUGCCUAUUAGUGGGGGACAACACCUCGAAAGGGAUGCUAAUACCGCAUACGUCCUACGGGAGAAAGCAGGGGAUCACUUGUGACCUUGCGCUAAUAGAUGAGCCUAAGUCGGAUUAGCUAGUUGGUGGGGUAAAGGCCUACCAAGGCGACGAUCUGUAGCGGGUCUGAGAGGAUGAUCCGCCACACUGGGACUGAGACACGGCCCAGACUCCUACGGGAGGCAGCAGUGGGGAAUAUUGGACAAUGGGGGGAACCCUGAUCCAGCCAUGCCGCGUGUGUGAAGAAGGCCUUAUGGUUGUAAAGCACUUUAAGCGAGGAGGAGGCUCUUUUGGUUAAUACCCAAGAUGAGUGGACGUUACUCGCAGAAUAAGCACCGGCUAACUCUGUGCCAGCAGCCGCGGUAA